rnacentral:rRNA from 1 species
CCUACGGGUGGCAGCAGUGAGGAAUAUUGGUCAAUGGACGAGAGUCUGAACCAGCCAAGUAGCGUGAAGGAUGACUGCCCUAUGGGUUGUAAACUUCUUUUAUAUGGGAAUAAAGUGUUCCACGUGUGGGAUUUUGUAUGUACCAUAUGAAUAAGGAUCGGCUAACUCCGUGCCAGCAGCCGCGGUAAUACGGAGGGUCCGAGCGUUAUCCGGAUUUAUUGGGUUUAAAGGGAGCGUAGGUGGAUUGUUAAGUCAGUUGUGAAAGUUUGCGGCUCAACCGUAAAAUUGCAGUUGAAACUGGCAGUCUUGAGUACAGUAGAGGUGGGCGGAAUUCGUGGUGUAGCGGUGAAAUGCUUAGAUAUCACGAAGAACUCCGAUUGCGAAGGCAGUUCACUGGACUGCAACUGACACUGAGGCUCGAAAGUGUGGGUAUCAAACAGGAUUAGAUACCCUGGUAGUC